rnacentral:tRNA from 1 species
GCCCAGCUGGCUCAGUCAGUAGAGCCUGGGACUCUUGAUCUUGGGGUUGUGGGUUUGAGCCCCACGUUGGGUG